rnacentral:rRNA from 1 species
AACGAACGCUGGAGGCAUGCCUUAUACAUGCAAGUCGAACGCGAAAGUACCUUCGGGUACCAGUAGAGUGGCAAACGGGUGAGUAACGCGUGGGAAUAUACCUUAUAGUACGGAAUAGCCUCGGGAAACUGGGAUUAAUACCGUAUACGCCCUUAGGGGGAAAGAUUUAUCGCUAUAAGAUUAGCCCGCGUCAGAUUAGCUAGUUGGUGGGGUAACGGCCUACCAAGGCAACGAUCUGUAGCUGGUCUGAGAGGAUGACCAGCCACAUUGGGACUGAGAUACGGCCCAAGCUCCUACGGGAGGCAGCAGUAGGGAAUAUUGGACAAUGGGGGAAACCCUGAUCCAGCAAUGCCUCGUGAGUGAUGAAGGCCUUAGGGUUGUAAAGCUCUUUUAGUGGGGAAGAUAAUGACGGUACCCACAGAAAAAGCACCGGCUAACUCCGUGCCAGCAGCCGCGGUAA